rnacentral:lncRNA from 1 species
UCAGUGCAUUUUUGAUGAGUGAAUGAAUGGAUUUGUCCAUAUAUUAUAAACAGCUCGUUACAAAUAUUUGUAAAAUAGCCCCCAGGAGUUCCCGUCAUGGCUCAGUGGUUAACGAAUAUGACUAGGAACCAUGAGGUUGUGGGUUCGAUCCCUGGCCUUGCUCCGUGGGUUAAGGAUCCAGUGUUGCCGUGAGCUGUGGUGUGGGUUGUAGAUGCGGCUCGGAUUCUGCAUUGCUGUGGCUCUGGUGUAGGCCAGUGGCUACAGCUCCAAUUAGACCCUAGCCUGGGAGCCUCCAUAUGCUAUGGGAGCAGCCCUAGAAAAGGCUAAAAGACCAAAAAAAAAAAAAAAAAGCCCCCAAACUUGCUGGAGAUGCCAACUCUUGGGGGGCCUUUAUUCACUCCUUUCCAUCCCCAGUAUUUACUGGGCAUUCCUCCAUGUCAAGCCCUGGGGAUACAGAGUUAAAUGAAAGGAGAAGCUUUAGCCCACCAUGCUGGCUGUAACGUUCACCCCUUGGCUCCCUCCCACCCGUUUUGUCAGGGUCUCGUCCCUUCUCGGCAGUGGGCCUACGUGGCCAUCAGAGACCCCGGCUGUAAUUACAGUACUGCCACCAUCAACAUGCCCUCAGUGGUGAGCAGAUGGCAGCUGCAUGAAAUCACUGGGCACAGACAGGCAUCACCAAGGGAGAUUAGGUAAGGUGCUUAUUUGAGGUGCUGUCAGGGCCCGUGGCAAAAGGGUCCCCUCGGGCUCCAGCCCGCCGUCUGCAGUUAUUUUUCUUACACACUCAGAUUACAGUGCUUGGUGAUAUUACAUCUGCAUGCACCUUGCCCUCUGACACGGCAAACACGGAUGCUGCCAAACGCCUUGCAAAGCCAUGUAUCUUAAGUAGGAAGGAGCAUCUUUGUGGGGAGGUGAAUUGAUUUGCAAAGCAGCCCGACACACAGGCUCUUGUUUCUCCUGGUAAUCAAACAAUUCAUCUUUCUACCCCUAGGGGCCACGGGAAAUUCGAUCCUGGAGGAGCCCCGGGACUCUUUGUAGUAGUGGGAGCAGAAAAAUUAGCCACGUGUCUUUUAAAAUGAUGAAUUGCCACUCACACAACCUGGGUGCAGUGUAGGCUGUUAGGGUGGGUGGGCCAAAGCUGAGGUGGGCAGGCCCUCCACGACCAAGGGCUGCCUGCCUAGGUUGGCAGGUGCAAAACAGCAGUGCUUGGGGAGGGUGAGCGGCUCUUUGUGUGCCAGGCAUCAGGUGUAGGUUACCUUUAAAUCCUUAAAACCACCUGCAACGCAGGUAGUAGCCCCAUUUUACAGAUGAGGAGACAGAGUCUCGACACAGUAAAGCCCCCGCCCUACUGACAAGGAAGGGAAAAAAACGGGAUUUCUAAGAUAGUUAAAAUUAUAAAAUGUUGGAGUUCCCGUUGUGGCUCAGCAGUAAUGAACCCGGCUUGUAUCCACGAGGUUUUGGGUUCCAUCCCUGACCUCCCUUGGUAGGCUUUGCUGUGAGCUGUGGUGUAGGUUGCAGAUGUGGCUUGGAUCUGGUGUUAUCGUGGCUGUGGUGUAGGCCAGAAGCUGCAGUUCCAAUUUGACCCCUAGCCUGGGAACUUCCAUACGCUGCAGGUGUGGCCCUAAAAGAAAAAUUUAUAAAACAUUGAAAUAGUAAAAGAUGCCAAACUAUUCAUGAAUGUUCCUUUUUUAAUUUUUUCUUUUAAAAUAAGACCAGAAACCCCUCAAAUUUCAGGUUUUGGAUUCUGGUGGUAGAAGAUUAAAUCAUAAUGGAGUACUUAACAUUUGGGUUUUUUUAAAAACAACAACAACAGCAAACAUUAGGGUAUGUUUGUAUAAUAGUUAAGAAUGUAUUUAUUGUAGUUGGGGGAAGAGAAAGGUAAGGAAUACACAUAUGGCUCAUCCUGGAACACGAGUGAGGCUAGAGGAAGCGUUUUCUGGUCGAAUUGAGAAACCGCUAAGGAGGAAAACUGAUAGAUCUUAAAAUAGGUGUAAUAUAUUAUAUAUCCCUGAAAAUGGGCCAAAACAGAUUGCUUCCCUUAAAGUCAUAUUGGGUGUUCAAAUCUCCGGUUACCUGGAAUGCAACUGUACUUCCUAUAUUUAACCAGGCUUUUUAUAAACCGGUUCUCUUGACACCUCGAGCUGACAGCUCCAUCCUGGGUGGUUAUUGAAUACCAAGUUUGCCUUUCUUCACGUUGAGGGUCCUCAGAAAUAGAAAACCAGAAAGGAGCCUUCUAAAAAGUCUGGCGCUCUGGGCCCAUGCUCUUCAGCAGGGUGGCUGCGAGGGGCCCCACGAACAGAAGAAUAAGACGUCAGAUGGGCAGCAUUUCCAGAAGUCCUUUCCACAGCUUAAAAACAAGGCAGAAAAGAACCAAGAGAAAAGAGAAGAAUUAGCCGUUCUUCUCCUAACGUGUCGGUCUCUGGACGUAAGGUCAGCAGCUGCCUUAUCCAGAAACGGCAAGAGUAGCCCUGACCCCCUCGGUCCGGGAGGAAGUGUCCCCCCUUAACCCCGAUCCGAGCGUCAGCUCAUCGGAGGGAUCGAAGGGCCUAAUACACAGUGUCCUCACUGUUCUCGGGCCCUGAGGGCUGUCGGAAGUGCGGGUCCCUGGAACUCCCAGUUGUGCCACCUGAGAAGAAAAUCCCCCUGAGGACCAGGAGGCGCCAAGAAAAGGCAGAAAAAGAGUGGAGCUGCUUCAGAGAGCGGGGAGCACACUUUCUUCCAAAGUGGAUUUGCAAGGACUCAAAAGAAAACCGUACUUGACGUGGAGGAGACGGUGAGGCGCAGUUAGUGUAUGUUUUGAGCAACACACCCGAAACUAACUAGAAUAAAAAAUGAGACACAUACACCAGGGCAUAGAUACAUUAUUUCCGUCUCCCGGCCUUAAACUGAGCGGCGUUUCCUGGGCGCCUAAAAGAAAAAAUUCUCAUGAAGCAGUAAAAAGAAGUGUGGAUCCCUACCUCCAAACCCUUACCCUGGAACCGAGUCCCAAGACGGUGUCAGGUAGGUAGACCCCUCUUU